rnacentral:lncRNA from 1 species
GGCACAGGGCCAGAUACGCCGAACUAACGGAGAAUUCUCCCGAAGGAGAAAGACUCCAAGACACACUAUCACUGACCGACGAGUCUGGGAGGGGAACCACUGCCUACAAGAUCUCCCAAUCCUGGACCUCGGCUGGACCAAGGGGGCGGCGAAACGCAACAUGCCAUCCAUCCUCCAAAGAAGACGCAAAGACAAGGGCAGUUGGGUCGUCGCAAAUAGCAAAGAGCCUCGGAAAUCGUAAGCG